rnacentral:lncRNA from 1 species
UACGAUGACAUGACACUAAAUCGUAUGAAUCAUCUGAGUUAUAGAUUGUUGUGGUGGCUGCGCAUGGUUGUUGGUGGUUACGGUUUGAUUCUUGAUUUUGAUUUUGGGUGUAUGGCAUGAAUGGGUUGCGAGGUUGGGUGUUUGGUUGUUGGGUGUAUAUGGUAGGGUGAUGGUGUGAGGUUGCUCGUUGGGUUUGAGUGAGUUGACAUUGUUCUUGGACGGGGAUUUGUUGUUGGACGUAUGAUGACG